UGGGGAAUAUUGCGCAAUGGGCGAAAGCCUGACGCAGCAACGCCGUGUGAGGGAUGAAGGCUUUCGGGUCGUAAACCUCUGUCGGAAGGGAAGAACGGGCAUUGGUCUAAUAGGCCUUCAUUUUGACGGUACCUUUAGAGGAAGCACCGGCUAACUCCGUGCCAGCAGCCGCGGUAAUACGGCGGGUCCAAGCGUUAUUCGGAAUUACUGGGCGUAAAGCGCACGUAGGCCGCUUUGUAAGUCAGGGGUGAAAUCCCACGGCUCAACCGUGGAACUGCCCUUGAAACUGCAGAGCUUGAAUCCUGGAGAGGGUGGCGGAAUUCCUGGUGUAGGAGUGAAAUCCGUAGAUAUCAGGAGGAACACCGGUGGCGAAGGCGGCCACCUGGACAGGCAUUGACGCUGAGGUGCGAAAGUGUGGGGAGCAAACA
rnacentral:rRNA from 1 species